AAGUCGUAACAAGGUUUCCGUAGGUGAACCUGCGGAAGGAUCAUUAACACGUAUCCAAACGUUAAACCCCCCUGUGAACCUUCAGUGUACUCGUACGUCCGUUAGAAAAAGCAGCAAUCCCUGGUAAAUCAUCGCCGAACAGUUUUCGAUUCAGGGACGUCUGCAAGGAGCGUGCAUGUUGUGCGAAGCAAGUGGCCUGGCAUCCCCAAGCAGUUAGUGUCUGAAAGUGUCAUUAACUGUGUAAGGAUGACGCAGUCACAUCGUUGGAGGCCCACACGGCCGACGACCGGGUCACUGGGCGCAAGCCCCCCUAACAAACGCUGCUAAUCGCGGCCGCGAUAAUACGCAGUCGACCAAAAACCGAACAACUGUUAACAAUGGAUAUCUUGGUUCUC
rnacentral:misc_RNA from 1 species